UAAAUUGUGUAAUGGGCCAAAUUUGCCCGGCCUACAUGAAGCUAAACAGUCCAAAUACAAUAGUUUUUUUGGGCCCAAACCCAAAACAAAAUACAAUAACGAAUGACCCAAAAUUAACCCCCAGGCCCAAGAACAAUUUCAGAAACCCUAGAGAUCUAGGGUAAACUUUGGCAGCCGCAACCAUGCCCCCGAAUCUCCGCACAAUCUUCAUACCUGCGCAACAAGGAAGGAAACAAAACAGAAUACGGCAAGAAAAAUCUUUGAAAUCAUGAAUCAAGCAAGAUACCAGAAGAUUUUGUUUACUUUUCUUGUUUUAUUGUUUGCUAUAAAAGCAAACUCAAUACACUGUAAUAAGGAUCCCGAAUCCAGAUUCGAAAAAUAAAUAAAAAAAACAAGUAUUUUCACAGCAAAUAGAGAGUCAAUCGAAACCAAAGGUUGAUAUACAUUUUCGUUUUACUAUUUAUUUUCUUUUUAUUUUUUUUAUAUACUGAUAUAAAAUUAAAAAAAAGUAAAAGACUCACCUUCGUUCGGGUCUGAAACGUCGUUGAGACGGUCGAGGGAGCCACCCCCGAGGAACGGUGGCCUGAAACCGAAAGGUUUCUUGUUUGCUUUGAGGAUUUUGUUGAUAUUUUGGGGAUUUUGAGCCCAGAUUUGGGCCUAAAGAGACCGAAGGAACUGAGUAGGGGUUUUUCCCCUUUUUCGGCCGCCACAGACGGUGGUGCCGACGCAGGAGAUCGGCGGCCGGCGCGGUGGCCGGUGAUCGACCGAUGACCGGACUAUAG
rnacentral:lncRNA from 1 species